rnacentral:tRNA from 1 species
GUUAAGGUGGCAGAGUCAGGCAAUUGCAAAAGACCUAAGCCCUUUACACAGAGGUUCAAAUCCUCUCCCUAACU